rnacentral:lncRNA from 1 species
AAUAUAAUUAAAACAUUUGACUGUGUAUGUAGAGAUAAAUAUGCUAGCAGGAAUCAACUACGAGUCUUGACUCUUGAGGGACAUGGUACAAGAUAAAUUUACCAAUAAAAUCACUAGCUGAGGGGUACACAUUUGCAAAGAUAGCACAAACAAGUUGGUACAUUUGAAACGAUAUAAUAUGUUUUUGGGUUAAGGAACUACACUGAAAGUAAAGGCAAACCACAGACAGCGGAACAUUUGCAUCUAACCAAAAGAACACGACACAUCACGAUGAUAAACCAGGUCCAACUAGCUGAGAUAGCGCAAACAAGUUGUACAGCUCAUUCCAUGCUGUUUCUAAGAGGAUUCUUGUAAGAUUGAAAACAGUGCAACGUUGCACUUGCAGAGACAAAAGACCAGACUUUAGCCUUGCACAAUUAUAUUGCAUUCAUCAUCAUCAUUGGCUGGAAAGUGCCAAAGCCAUGUCUCGAAACUAAAGCCUGUACAUAUACCAGACAAGGUAGGAUCAGUUGAGUGUGAUAUCAUCUCGAGAAAACAUUGUGCAAAAAAUUGACGAGUGUAUAGUUACAGAAUGCAUAAUAUCUGUAGCUUAUCUAAUUAUUCCAAUGUUGUGGAUAUGUGAUUGAGACAAAACUUUGGCUGAUCACAUAACGACUACUUCCCUAGCAAUUACAUCUACCAUUUUCACCCCAUCACAGUAAGGAUGUCUAAACUGACCGGCCACAAGUACAAAAAUAUGUGCUGCUAGUUAACUUACAUGUGGAUAGUUGCGAAACCAGUUUGAUGCUAAUCUGCAUGGCACUGCCAAAACGACUCAACAACUUUAAAAUCCUGCAAACCCUCCCAUCAACAUCUCUGCAUCUGAUUUCCACAAUAUUAAGAUGUUUGGAUAUUGCAGGUAAUUUUUCCAUUGGAUAGCUCAGCACAGUAAUAAACUCCCGUCU